GUCCCUCGUUCAGCAAAAUCUCAAUUGCAAAGGCAACAACUUUCCGGGAACGAGCUUUGCGUGCACCCGAGAGACCAAUGAUAGUAGGAACACAACUGCCCCAGUCUGCCUUAAAGAGCCAGGCAUGUGCCAGUGAGGGCCUCCCCUUGCUCUCCCCACAACAGGCUGCUGCUCCACUCUCUUAAGGUGGACCAGAAGAGAUGUGUUGCUUGGGUAUAACACCUUGACUGAACAAUGGACGGGAAAGAGUUAAUUCCCACGGUCUCGCUUCUAGCCUCUCUGUGAUCCCAUGUAAUGCACUUUUUGAUCCGGUUUUGCUUUAAGCGGUAAUGUUUUUCUUCCAUUUUUUUUGUUGUUGUGCUUGAUCAGAAUCACCUUUAUUUGCUAAGUACAUUUACACAUACGUUUACACUGUGUAGUGGUGCUAGUCAACACAGAGGUAGAAUACUCAGUAUUGAGGCUGACAUCCAUUUAUUUGCAAUGGGUUGGGGAGCGUAAGAUAAUGGGAAGGAGAGGUGAGUAUAUCCUAUACAUUAAUUCACAGUUGAUGUAACAAAAAAUACAGUUCAAGUAUGCUGCUGUAUCUAGACACAGGGAGAUGAGCUGAGUUUUAAAUUCGGUAUAGUGAAUAUUGAUUAGUUAAUAGUUAACCAUUUGAGGUUGCUUCAUGUGCAGAGGAUGUUGGCCUCUUGUGUUUCUGUAUACUGUAUGUAUAGUGAGCAUUUUUAUUUAGUUAUGUACAUCUCAACUGUAAAAGGGAUAUUUUGUCUCAGUAUCAGCACAACCCGCUGCUAAAAUGAGCAAGGCACUGUGGUAGACUGUUGUGUACUUUAGUUAAUGUAGUCUUAAGGUAAAUUCCUCUGUAGGAUUUGUCACAACUGUUCUUUUGACUUUGGCUGCUUUUUGUUCUUUCCCCUGUACGAGUGAUCCCACACAACUUCAAUUAUGACUGUAAAUUAUGACGGUAAACCUAACAGAUUACCGUCACUGUUUUUGUAAUCAGUUAGUUACAUGUAAUAAAAUAGUUACUUUCCAACCUUGCCCCUACUGUACGUACCUAUAUAAAAACAUCAAUGACAUUGUCCGUUUUAUGACUAUCUGUGUAUGUUAGACCCUAGUCCUUCAGUGAAUAUGUCUCUUUGUUCAGUGUGGGUCUUCUUUUUUUUCUUCUGUUUUUGUUCAUUUUUCAUUUUGUUCAUGGAGUGUCUGUACCUUCCUCCUAAAUGUUUUCUUAAAAAAAAUAAUAAACACACGCCCUAUAUUAUUUGUACAAUUUCCUGUUUUGUAUUUCUGCCCGUGUGUUCAAUAAAAAGUUUGCCUGUCUGUG